rnacentral:lncRNA from 1 species
UUUCUUCUUCCUCCCACUCUCAUUCCUAGGGAGAUAACCAACCACCACCAUCCCCUCCACUGUCCGAAAAAACACCACAGUCCCAAUGAACAAAAAGAGAUACAAAUCUUCCUAAUCACCACCUUUCUCUACCAUGUCUUGCCCGAAGAUGCCACCAUUUGGCCUCGUUGGCUAAAUCUCUCUCUCCGUCUCCUCCACUUUGGUUCGGCUCCAAAUUUGAGAGAAAACACUUUAAGCCCAAUUUCCCCUUUAAUCUGAGAGAAAACACUUCUAGAUCUCCAACGAAUAGAAAAUCAAAGACACUUC